UUGUUGGUUUUAUCUUCUUCUUGAAUGCUAUAUUCUAGUUUGUUUACUAUUUCAUCAUUUUCUAACCUUAGUUUUGUAUUUCUUAUAACACGGACAUAUCCAACGCAAGGACUUGCGAACUCGUAGUGGUUUAAUUCUGUAAAAUAAACGCGCACUAAUUUUGUUUUACUUCAUGAUAUACGUAAAUAUACACUGAUUUUUCAGUUUUAUGACACUAAGAUUUAAAUAAAUCACUAACGUAAAGCACACUGGUGUGAUGAUAGAUAUUCCAGUAUAUUCGAUUGAUAUGAAAAAUAUGUACAAUAUUACAUUCUGCUCCGAACCUCACCGAAGACAUAUAGGUGAUUUGUAUUUGGCUAUAUUAAAAAUAUGUGGUUAAACAACCCGUAACGCUCUUUUCCAGUCUUUGGCCCCUCAAAGCAAGCACUCUCUACGCGGAAAUUCGAAUAGGUUUUACCACGAACUUGAUUACACGUCCAUGGUUUUACAAAGACGUCUAUAAAUCUCUGUGACUUAAUUAUAUAUUUUGUGGAGUUAUUUUUCCCCUACCCUAAAGGAUAUAAAGAAAACAAAAAAAUAAAUAAAAAAUAAAAUGUAGUGAGAAUGACAAAGAGACAAAUAUUUUCGGAUAACUCAGAGUGCGUGGGGAGUACUUUCGGCCUUCACCUUAGUUCAAGAUGGCGUCGAUGUUUCCCAUAUGAACGAGUGAAAUUCUGUUUUACGAUCGUUGUAUCAAAUUUACAAGAAAUGUCUUGGGAAAGAUAGCAGCUUUAAACAAUUGUGCUGAGACUUUGAUGCUGGUAAAGCUGUGUAGUAAAUCACCAUGACAACAAGACGUGCUAGACUGCAGGUAAAGCCUAACCUCGGGCCACGACUUGCACGUUCUCAGACAGGAAGUGAAGAUUCUGCCACUUCAUCCAAAGAAACAAAUCAUUCAGCUUCAGAGUCAUGUUCAGGCUCUGAUGUUCAGGAAAAUAUACAAAGGACUUUUACACAGCUGAAGGAAAUAAAUGCCAGGACAGUAGAGAAGACAGUGCCAGUGAGAUCAGACAACAAGGAAUCAGAUCAUGAGGCUCCAGAGAAUUCAGCAUCACUGGAAAUUAAUGAGGCUGAGAAUAACAGUGGCGAAUAUUGUUUUUACUAAGAUUUCAAAUGCUGGAAGCUCUUUGACAACCAGUCACGCUGAAUGUGUGCCAGCUGGUACCAUCUCUCGCUCCCCCAAGAAAGUACCUUGUGUUGAAGCAAAGAAAUCUGAUUGCUGUGAGGUAACUAGAAACACUUCUGAAGAGUCAUUAGACAAGCAGCCAAAGGGCCAGCCAGGGGAGAGCACCGAUGGUCAUCCAUCUCCCCAGCCAAAACUUCUUUCAGACCUAAGCCUUCAGUGUUGCCAGGAAUACGUUUACCUCACAUGCGUGGUACAAAGUUCAAACCCAGGCCCAAUCUUGUUGAUGUCAGCAAAACUGCUAGAAGAUUUGCAGAACCGACUCAGAAGUUGGAUGUUGAAGGCAAUGCAAGUGAUUCUAAUCAAGCCCCAGGUCAAAGCUUAAGACAAAAGAACUUGAAAAUACAGAUGCUGCAGGUGAAGACUGGCAUCCUGCCAGGUCAUUAAACAAAGAAGGGGUCCAGCCAAAGGAUCAGCAUUGUAGGCAGAAAGUGCAGACAAAGUGGAUAUGCAUGUUUCUGACACAAAACCAGUGGGAAGUGACAUUGAGUCUGAUGGCAAUGAUGCUGCUAGUGCCAGCCAGAGUAGUCUGGAGCAGGAUGGAGAGGCAACUCAAGAAUCAAUGGCUGGUGGCCCUUCAACUGGGAGAAAAGAAGAGAAGAGAAAGGUUUCAGAGAGGGUAAGAUCAAAACCUAGCAAGAAUAACUCCCAGCACUAUUCAACAUGAUCUACUAAAUCCAUCUGUGACAAUCUCAUCCAUACCUGGCAUACAGCAAGCCAUCUUUUGCAGUGACAGCAUCCAUUCUUACUGCAGUAAAAGAUGUCAUGUGUCCUGAGCAAGUUUAACAUACCCUGUCUUA
rnacentral:lncRNA from 1 species